GACGAACGCUGGCGGCGUGCCUAAUACAUGCAAGUCGAGCGCAGGAAAUCGACGGAACCCUUCGGGGGGAAGUCGACGGAAUGAGCGGCGGACGGGUGAGUAACACGUAAAGAACCUGCCCUCAGGUCUGGGAUAACCACGAGAAAUCGGGGCUAAUACCGGAUGGGUCAUCGGACCGCAUGGUUCGAGGAUGAAAGGCUCUCCGGCGCCACCUGGGGAUGUCUUUGCGGUGCAUUAGCUAGUUGGGUGGGUAAUGGACCAGCAAGGCGACGAUGCAUAGCCGAGCUGAGAGGGUGAUCAGCCACACCGGGACUGAGACACGGCCCAGACUCCUACGGGAGGCAGCAGUAGGGAAUCUUCCACAAUGGACGAAAGUCUGAUGGAGCAACGCCGCGUGAACGAUGAAGGCCUUCGGGUCGUAAAGUUCUGUUGUAAGGGAAGAACAAGUGCCGCAGGCAAUGGCGGCACCUUGACGGUACCUUGCGAGAAAGCCACGGCUAACUACGUGCCAGCAGCCGCAGUAACAC
rnacentral:rRNA from 1 species